CUACGUGCCAGCAGCCGCGGUAAUACGUAGGGGGCAAGCGUUGUCCGGAAUUAUUGGGCGUAAAGCGCGCGCAGGCGGUUCCUUAAGUCUGAUGUGAAAGGCCACAGCUCAACUGUGGAGGGCCAUUGGAAACUGGGGAACUUGAGGACAGAAGAGGAGAGCGGAAUUCCACGUGUAGCGGUGAAAUGCGUAGAUAUGUGGAGGAACACCAGUGGCGAAGGCGGCUCUCUGGUCUGUAACUGACGCUGAGGCGCGAAAGCAUGGGUAGCGAACAGGAUUAGAUACCCUGGUAGUCCAUGCCGUAAACGUUGAGUGCUAGGUGUUAGGGGGUCCAACCCUUAGUGCUGCAGUUAACGCAAUAAGCACUCCGCCUGGGGAGUACGGCCGCAAGGCUGAAACUCAAAGGAAUUGACGGGGGCCUGCACAAGCGGUGGAGCAUGUGGUUUAAUUCGACGCAACGCGAAGAACCUUACCAGGUCUUGACAUCUUCGGACAGCCCAAGAGAUUGGGUCUUCCCUUCGGGGACCGAAUGACAGGUGGUGCAUGGUUGUCGUCAGCUCGUGUCGUGAGAUGUUGGGUUAAGUCCCGUAACGAGCGCAACCCCUGAUCUUAGUUGCCAGCAUUGAGUUGGGCACUCUAGGAUGACUGCCGGUGACAAACCGGAGGAAGGCGGGGAUGACGUCAAAUCAUCAUGCCCCUUAUGACCUGGGCUACACACGUGCUACAAUGGAUGGUACAAAGGGAAGCCAAACCGCGAGGUCGAGCUAAUCCCAUAAAGCCAUUCUCAGUUCGGAUUGUAGGCUGCAACUCGCCUGCAUGAAGCCGGAAUCGCUAGUAAUCGCGGAUCAGAAUGCCGCGGUGAAUACGUUCCCAGGCCUUGUACACACCGCCCGUCACACCACGAGAGUUGGCAACACCCGAAGUCGGUGGGGUAACCUUCACGGAGCCAGCC
rnacentral:rRNA from 1 species